rnacentral:ribozyme from 1 species
UUUUUCUAUCUGUUCUUCUUCUUCCUUUUCCAUACUUUUUUUUUGUCAAAUUUGAAUAAACAACAUGAACAAAUGUCUGUACUACUAUACUAUUAU